ensembl:lncRNA
UUGUUUUUUAAUGAACCAAGAAUGAGGAUGAGAAAUUACUUAAUGGGUAUAACGUAUACUAUUCAGGUGACAGCCACACUAAAAGCCCAGACUCCACCACUACCCGAUAUACCCAUGUAACAAAACUGCAGUUUUGCCCCUUACAUUUAUACAAAUAAAAAACAGGCUGGGCACGGUGGCUCAUGUCUGUAAUCCCAGCACUUUGGGAGGCCAAGGCAGGUGAAUCGCUUGAGCUCAGGAGUUCAAGACCAGCCUGGGCAACAUGAUGAAACCCCAUCUCUACCAAAAACACAAAAAGUUAGCCAGGUGUACUGAGAGGCUAAGGUGGGAGGAUCACCUGAGCCUGUGAGGUCGAGGCUGCAGUGAGCUGUGAUCACACCACCACCACUCCAGCCUGGGUGACAGAGUGAGACCGUAUCUCAAAACCAACAACAACGAAGAAUGGGGAAAGGAUUUUAGACAUUUUUAUUUAGGGAUCUAAUAUUCCUGACUAAAUCCAAGGAUUCUCUCUGAAAGUCAGGGACAUUCUCUUCAGAAGGCGUGGUGUAAAGAGAUGGAUAGGUAGAAUCUCUUCCUAUAAUCCUCUUGCAGCUAAUUGCCAGACAAUUUACAUGAGCAUGUAUAACAGUAUCUGUAGAAAGUAAAUACAUGAUCCUGGAUAUUUGUGUACCAGAAGGGAGUGAAAUGCAUGGUUAAGAGCACAAAUUUUGGUAUCAAACAACCUGAGUUCAGUUCUCAGUUCUGCUUCUAAGUAUGGGAGUGAAUUUAGGGGCAUAAGGCCCAUGUUCUGGAAGAAUCUAGGAAGCAGCUGGAUGGGCAUUAAGGAAUUAAACUCUUGAAUGCCCCUUGAACAAUCACUUUUAUGAGGGAAUGCUUUUGAGUACUCAGUGCUGCCCUGAGAGCCGCUUCUCAGCUGGAAGCAGUUGGAAACCGAUAAUCUCAGCCUUAGAUUCUAGGGGGUCUGUCAAGGCUGUCAUUUUAUGUUAUCACUUCAAGGUUCAGCAUGCAGAACAAUUUCUUAGCCAUCAUGAAAUGUUUCCUGGUAGCCAGCUCAGGCUCUACAGAUAUACCACCCUAACUCUUCCAGUAAAAGAAAGCCAUUUUCAGAAAAACAGAACUUCCUCCAGAGGUUUUAUAGUCAAAGGCACGUGGUGAAUGUCACAGAUUGGGUUUUUGGAGAAGAACCCUGAGAUGGAGUUUAGUGUACAGGAUGCUUAUUAACGAGUAUCCUUGGGAACAACCCCGGUGGAAAGGAAAAGAGGGAAGCAGGACUGGGCAGAGGGAGAAGUCAAGUUGCCAAACAACAGGCUGAGCCAAAUCCCAACACUGUCCCACACUGGGCUGAAAGGGCUGGGCCUUUCUACCCACACAGGAAGCAUUCCCUGGAUGUGGGCUGCCCUGGGAAGCAUAUGGCCUUGGGCGAGUAGCUCUGCACUUCUAGGCCCUCCUUGGAGGCGCCAACAGAUGAAGCUUGUCUGUGACAACACGCCCAGCAACCCAAGCAAUAAGCUAGUGGGAGAGAAAGAUGUGACCAACUCUGACUGUGAACUACACACAGAAAUAACACAUCUCUUGCAGACCAAGCAUUUAAUUGUUAUUUAAAGACCCUCCAAAGCUCCUUUCCCCUGUAGUGAUUUCAAGAUGGUGGCUGCUCGAUGAGCCUGGGCCCCGAGGAAUGACAGUGAGGAGAACCCCUCAUCAACCAGUGCGAUGGAAUGUAGUAUGAGCAAAACUUAAAUCUGAGUUCUUUAAAGCCACUGAGAUUUGGGGGUCGUUCGUUACUGCAGUAUUGUGAGCUUUCUAUUGUGUGUCAUCAAUAGCAGCAUAGGAAGCUACGUUGGAUGCUUUUAAAUGAUUUGAAGACGAGACACCUUAUGACCUUAAACAAUCAAGGAACUGGUUUCAAAUCAUCAUCAUCACUUCCAGCAGCGACAUCAUAGCUAACGUUAGCACUAACAUGAAUUUGUUACUGGAAAGGGGUCCUGCUCCAGACCUGAAGAGAGACCUCUCGGACCUCGAGCAAGAAAGAAUUCAGGGCAAGUCCAUAAAGUGAAAGCAAGCUUAUUUGAGAAAUAAACAAAAGAAUGGCUACCCUAUAGGCAGAGACAUGGCAUGGGCUGCUUGACUGAAUAUAGUUAUUUCUCGACUAUAUGCUAAACAAGGGGUAGAUUGUUCAUAAGCUUUCCGGGGAAAGAGGUGGAGAUUUCUUGGAACUGAGAGUCCCUCCCCUUUUUAGACUAUGUAGGGUAACUUCCAAACGUUGCCAUGGCAUUUGUAAAUUGUCACAGUAGUGAUGGGAGUGUCUUUUAGUAUGCUAAUGCAUUAUAAUUCGCAUAUACUGAGCAGUAAGGACAACUAGAGGUCACUUUCAUCACCAUCUUGGUUUUGGUGGGUUUUGGAGGGCUUUCUUAUGACAUCCGGUUUUAUCAGUAGGGCGGUUGUGACCUGUAUCUUGUGCUGAUCUCCUAUCUCAUCCUGUGACUAAGAAUGCCUAGUCUCCUGGGAAUGCAGCCCGGCAGGUCUCAGUCUCAUUUUACCCCUAUUUAAGAUGGAAUUGCUAUGGUUCAAAUGCCUCUGAUAAAUUCACUAAUUUAAUGCUCAAACAACCUAUGGAUGACACAGGUAUUAUUAUUUUCUACAUUUUAGAGAUGAAACAACUGAUGCUUAAAGAGAUUUAUUAACUCGUACAUAGCCAGGGUGUGCAAUCUAUAGCCUGAAGUUCAAAUCCAGUUAAGUGCCUGUUUUUGUAAAUAAAGUUUUGUUGGAACACAGCCAUGCCCAUUCAUUACAUAUUACGUAUUUAUGGCUGUUUUCAUGAUACAGUGACUGAGUUGAGUAGUUGCAUAUGGCUUGCAAACCUCAAAAUACAGUUGGCCCUCCAUAUGUGAGGGCUCCACUUUUGUGGAUUCAACCAACCAAGAAUCAAAAAUAUUUGAAAAUAAAAAUAAAAAAGCAAUACAAUAAAAUAAUAUAAAUUAAAAACAAUACAACACCAUAACUCUUUGCAUAGCAUUUACAUGGUAUUAGGUAUUAUAAGUAAUCCAGAGAUGAUUUAAAGUAUACGAGAGGACGUGCAUAGGUUAUAUGCAAGUACUGGGCCAUUUUGUAUCAGGGACUCGAGCAUCCAUGGAUUUUGUUACCCAUGGGGUAUCCUGGAAGGAAUCCCCUAUGCAUAUUGAAGGACAACUGUACUUACCAUCCAGCCCUUUACAGAAAAAGUUUGCCCACCCUCACCCCUAGCAGUAGUAAGCGGCAGAGCCUGAUUCCAAACCCAGGUUGUCUGACUCCAGAGACAACACUCAUAACUCAGAUAUAAAUAAACAUUAGGUAGGCUUGGAACCCUGUUGGAAUGUUAUGAAACUUUUCUAUUUCCAUUUUCCUAAUCAUGUGUUUUUUUCAUUUAAAAAUUUCCUGAUGUUUACUUCCAGCAAUAUGACAGAAUCUAUAUCCUGAAAAUUCUCCCCCAAAAAAGCACCUUUAAAAUGCUGGAUAAAAUAAGUAGCUAACUUGGCAAGAAAUUAAAGUAUCUUAAUCCCCAGAGGCCAAAAAUGAAGUCGGAAGCCAGAAUUCAGAAUGAGCAUGGUAAAUGUUCACUGGAGCAGGCAUCAGACCCUGAGGGCAUUUGCCAGUGUUUUGUAAAUUAGAACUUUCAGUUUUUACAUCCAUGUCGGGGGAAGGGGGGACAGGAGAGGCAGGCGACAAAGCAGUGCAGUGUCAGCAUGGAGACUUUGGAAUGAGUCCCCAAAGGCCCACAUUCCCAAUAAAAGAGUGAACUAGAAAAUAUUUGCCAUGCAAAGGAAAUAGCAAAGAAAAUUUUGCAUGUUAACCUUGAUUUUGGUUGGAAGAAAAAAUAAGAGUCCCUACCCCCUACCAGAAGUUAUAAUCACCAGUCAGGCCUCAAGUCUGGGUUCAAAUUCACUCUGUGUACCUAUUCUGAAACUAUUUUAAAUAAACAAACCAAAAAAAAAUUUUUUUAAAUGACCAGGCACUUGGCAAAGGUAAACACAAAUAUAAGGAAUGUUCUCCAAUUCAAGCCUCAUAAAAUUCUCACAACUAGUGCCUCAACAAAAAUGAGCUCACAAUUUUUAUAAAAUCACAAGACCACCCAUGUAGUAAGACAUCAUCAGACAGGGUUAGAAACAUCAAACAGUAGAAUCAGACAUUCAGGCUUUGGGUUGGAAUUAUCACAUAGAGCAAGGUUAGCAAACUUUUCUCUAAAAGGCCACAUAGUAUACAUUUUAGGCUUUGCAAGCCAUACAGUCUCUGUCAAAAACACUCAGCCUUGCUAUUCUAGUAUAAAAGCAGCCAUGGGCAGUAUGCAAAUGAAUGGGCUUGCCUGUGUUUUAAUAAAACUAUAUUUACAAAAACUGAGAGUGUGCCAGAAAACCAUACCUUAUAAAUAAAUGUUUUCUAUAUUUAAAGAAAGCUUUAAAACAUUAGCAAGGAACAAAAUACUCUUAGAAACAUCGAAAAAGAUUCUUAACUUCUGAAAGUAAAAUAGUUGAAUUUUAAAAUUCAGCAUAUGAGUUGACUAACAAAUUAGAAAUGAAAUGUAUAAUUAAUAAAUUGAAAGUUGGAUAAGACAAAACUACUUAGAAUAUAGUUCAGAGAGAGAAAGAGAAGGAUAUCAUGAUAUAGACAUGAAAGUAAGUGAGAAGUGUUAACAUUAAUCUAAUGAAAGUUCCAGAAAGAGUGACUAGAGAAAAUGAGAUGGACACAAUAUUCAAUCAUUUGUAUGGUUCCUUAUAUUUAGGAAGUACAAAAAAUUCUAAAGAAUAUUCACACCCAGACUUAUCCUGGUGAAAUGAAAGAACAUUAAAGACAAAUUUAAUAGCUUAAAAACAGCUAGAGAAAAAGACAGCUUUCCUGUUUUACAUCUAACUUCUUAUGAACAGAGCAGAAAGCAAAAGAUUACAAGAUGAUGUCUUCAAAGUGCUGGGAAAACUGUUUCAAUUUACAAUUGGAUACCCAGUAAAACUUAUCUUUCAUGAGGAUGCAAUAGAAUAUAUUUAGGUGAACAAAAGCCAAGAUAAUUUACUAUGGACAGAUUCUUAGUAAAGGAACUUCCUGAGGAUAUAUAUACUUUGGAAAGAAGGAUAUAUAUACUUCUCCAGAAAGGAGAUGUGAGCUGUAAGUUGUAAGAAAGAUAACCAUGUGAUCAAAGACAUUUGUAGUCACAUGGAUACAUCUAAAUAAAUAUCAACACUAAUAAAUCUAAUUUGGGAAGUUAUAAAAGUCAGAGGUUGGGAGAGAUGAGCUUCUAAAGCAGAGGUCAUAUUCUAUUUCUUAAAAUGGUAAAUAUAUGAAUGUAUGUGUGUGUGUGUGUGUGUGUGCAAACAUG